CCACAAAAAAAGUUUUUUUAAACCAAGUGUAGGAGGACUGAGGCCACAAGUCGGAAAAUAAAGAUAAGGUGGUAGUGCCGCCUGGAUGAAUUAGCCCCAACUUCUCUCCAUAAAAAAGAUUGUAAUGUAACCUAAUUAUUAAGGCAUCGCAGAUCAAAAGGAAGAAAAAAAAAAGUUGGCGACCCGAAGAUGUACAUUGUUAGACUGACAAGCUGCCGAUCUCUCAGAGAAGCCGCGAGAGAAGCCUUGCUCCAUCGGAAGUGGUUGCAUGGAAAGCGAAAACUCACUUUUCAAGCUCUUGAAAGUCAUUGUCUUUCGGGCUCACCAUACAGUAGAUUGCCAUGGCAACGCAACCUGCUGGUGUUACAAAGAGUUUAAAAUGUUGAAAGGCAGCUGAACUGACUAGAGUAAAGAGCAACAGAAUAAACAGUAUUUUGAUUCAUUUCGGGGGUUACAAAAAAAACCAGACCAUGAAUACGGGCAUUGUCCAAGCUUUUCUAAAUCUGAUUCACCAUAUCAUAACCCCUACGAAGAAGAAAACAUCAAUAUCGCAAAAGGAAAGAAGAUGUUUCUAUGGAAAACCUAGGAAUUUACUGCAUAACAGAUCUGGUGAAAAAUCAAAGAGAUCAAAGCGAGCGCUCCUGGGAGUUAGAUGCAGCUCUGAAUCAAAGAUGUACGAGGUGGACUCCAAAGUGCUUGGCUUCAUUUCAAGUCUGAAUCCCAAUUUCAAGGGAAAUGCUGUCGAAAUUUCACCCCCCAAAUCAGUCAAAACCAACACUUCAGCAGGUGCUGAUGAAGGCAUGAACAUCGCAUCAGUCUAGCCAAUGUGCAUGCAUGACAUUCAAAUAACAGUGGUUAGAGCCCGUGCAUUAUCACCACUUUGUUCUGCAAAUGCAUAUUAAUGACAAAGAGGAGGAAAAACAAACACAACGACAAAUUCCCAGAUACCACUGCAAUUAGAGAAUAUGUAUGCAUACAUAUAUAAACAAGAUUACAGAACCGUAACUUAAACGAGUAAGUAAAAUUUAUGUCCCUAUCGUUUGCAAAAACACAGUAGCAACCAGGGUAGAUACUUGGCAGUACAGCUCGCGGUAUCGACCUUUAGUAAUCAUUAAUGUGAGUUGCUUUUCAAAAUAAAUCAAAGACCAAAUCAAACCAAAGCGCUGGGGCAAUGCCGAUAGUUAUUCCCAGUGACCAACCAAAAUUGUACUUUGAAAUCUUAUGUUAUCUGAAUCAAAAAGAUUUAUUAUGCGAAGUAGUUAUAUAUGGGAAAGCAUAACCAACGACUAGAUUGUUUGAACAUUCCGGUGGAAUCUUAAUAAAGUUCAUAUUGGCAGAAAACAUGUUUCGCAAUUAGUAAUUGUAAAAGGGAAUUAAAAAAAAGAUCAAUGCACGUUGUUCGGCUAAAUUCAGUUUUUUCACAACUUACAGACAGGAUGAUUUCAACAAUAUAAAAGUUUCGGAGGGUUGUGGAAGACAAAUGAGAAGCCAUUAUCAAAUAGAAAGGUUCAAAGAGCGGAGUGGUGACAACAGCCCAUAUGCUGCCAUCCAUACUUUAAAAAAGGUUUGGCAAAAUCAAGUGUCGAUAAAUUCCAUAAAAUUCGAAAGCCAAUAAAAGUUCUCGAAUAAUAUUCCAAGAUGGACAACAAUAACGCGCCGUUCUGCUGGAGUAGAACAUCUGUACCAGGGAAUGAGAGACAAAUGACGGAAGAGUUAAAAUGUUAAUCUAAAAUCUAAUCUAUACUGGUACAAAUAGUUAUUAUUUGAUUAAAAAAUGGAAAUACA